rnacentral:rRNA from 1 species
ACGUACACUCCUACGGGAGGCAGCAGUAGGGAAUCUUCGGCAAUGGGGGCAACCCUGACCGAGCAACGCCGCGUGAGUGAAGAAGGUUUUCGGAUCGUAAAGCUCUGUUGUAAGUCAAGAACGAGUGUGAGAGUGGAAAGUUCACACUGUGACGGUAGCUUACCAGAAAGGGACGGCUAACUACGUGCCAGCAGCCGCGGUAAUACGUAGGUCCCGAGCGUUGUCCGGAUUUAUUGGGCGUAAAGCGAGCGCAGGCGGUUUGAUAAGUCUGAAGUUAAAGGCUGUGGCUCAACCAUAGUUCGCUUUGGAAACUGUCAAACUUGAGUGCAGAAGGGGAGAGUGGAAUUCCAUGUGUAGCGGUGAAAUGCGUAGAUAUAUGGAGGAACACCGGUGGCGAAAGCGGCUCUCUGGUCUGUAACUGACGCUGAGGCUCGAAAGCGUGGGGAGCGAACAGGAUUAGAUACCCUUGUAGUCC